GGGGUUGUGGCUCAGGGGUAGAGCACUUGCCUUGCAUGCAUGGGCUACUGGGUUCAGUCCCCAGCACCACA
rnacentral:tRNA from 1 species